rnacentral:lncRNA from 1 species
AGAGACUGGAAGCCAUAAACUUACAGGUCAUCCUGUAAAAGUUGGUCCAUCCGAGGCUAAAUUUUGUGAGCCAGUGCUGCAGGAUGACAUUCACAUUCACAGGGAGAAGCUAAAGGAUACUUGUACAACAAACAUCAUGAAACCUGUCAAUCCAGAAGAUGUGCAACCAGCAACAAAUGUGCCAAAAGAAAACCAGGAAGGGACUGGAAGUCAUAAACUUACAGGUCAUCCUGUAAAAGUUGGUCCAUCCGAGGCUAAAUUUUGUGAGCCAGUGCUGCAGGAUGACAUUCACAUUCACAGGGAGAAGCUAAAGGAUACUUGUACAACAAACAUCAUGAAACCUGUCAAUCCAGAAGAUGUGCAACCAGCAACAAAUGUGCCAAAAGAAAACCAGGAAGGGACUGGAAGUCAUAAACUUACAGGUCAUCCUGUAAAAGUUGGUCCAUCCGAGGCUAAAUUUUGUGAGCCAGUGCUGCAGGAUGACAUUCACAGGGAGAAGCUAAAAGAUACUUGUACAACAAACAUCAUGAAACCCGACAAUCCAGAAGUUGUGCAACCAGCAACAAAUGUGCCAAAAGAAAACCAGGAAGGG